GCGGUGGCUUUGCUUGCUACAGCGUGCAUGACCGAGUACGCGAUCGAUGCGCGCGCGCGGAUGCGUACGUGCGGGCAAUGAUGAAACGAGCCGGGGCAAAUGCAACGUGUGAUGCGCGGCGGCCAAACCCGUGGCUCGCUCGAUCGAUCGGGAUGAUGACAGGAUCGAUGCGAUGGUGGUACUGUCGAUCGUCACCAGCGAUGAUAUGUGAAUUGAAGAGCUAGGGCAUGCAGAUGAAACAAGAAGAGCAUAUGCAAUUAACUGCUGCGAUUAAUUAGGAACCGCGCUCAUGAGCAUAGAGCAAGUGCUAAUUAAUCACAGUACGUAACGACAAGGAGAUGAGAGUCCUGAUCACCAUAACUACGAGUCAGGAUUGGGCGUACUCGAGAUGCAUCAUCCAUUCAUCAUGAGUGUAGCUAGUACUGUAUACGUGGGCAAGGGCCUUGUUUAGUUUCCAAAAAAAAAUAUAAAAUUUUGUCAGAUCCUCAUCACAUCAGCACAUGCAUGAAGUAUUAAAUAUAGAUAAAAAAUAACUAAUUGCAUAUUUUACUUGUAAUUUGCGAGACGAAUCUUUUGAGUCUAGUUAGUUUUAUAAUUUAAUAAUAUUUGUCAAAUACUAUACAAACAAACGAAAGUACGACUAUAUCCGUUGUGCAGAAAAGAAAAAAAAAAUUGAAACUAAACAAAACCCAGCGAGCGGCUUAAUCUAAUCGAAGACGACGACCACGACGCCGAGCGCCCGUCUUUGCAGUGGUGAUGACCAGGGGCAGCGCAGAGAAAGCAACACGCAAUAAUUAGAGGAGAUAAUCUUUUUUAGUGGAGCGAUCGAGAUCAUUGCAGUAACAAACUUACACCCCCACUGCACUCGGGACGCAAUCCGCCGGUCUCCAUCAACGCUGUACCAGUGCUAAUAAGGCGCUAGCUGCUCGAUCUGCUCAUGCAUCUCUACCGCGCGCGCGUACGUCGAUCGCUAGCUCCCGUACUCGUACAGUGUACGUGACAACACUGCAGCUGCAGCUGCAGCAGGCGACCGCCGCGGCCCCGUGCUCCUAUCGACCCCUUGGCCC
rnacentral:lncRNA from 1 species